rnacentral:rRNA from 1 species
UACGUAGGUGGCAAGCGUUGUCCGGAAUUAUUGGGCGUAAAGCGCGCGCAGGCGGUCUCUUAAGUCUGAUGUGAAAGCCCACGGCUCAACCGUGGAGGGUCAUUGGAAACUGGGAAACUUGAGUGCAGAAGAGAAGAGCGGAAUUCCACGUGUAGCGGUGAAAUGCGUAGAGAUGUGGGGGAACACCAGUGGCGAAGGCAGCCCUCUGGGCUAAGAUUGACGCUCAGGCACGAAAGCGUGGGGAGCAAACAGG